GGAAACCUAGAAACUACCAUUAGAUCGAAAAAUAGACUUUCGAGAUUCGUUUACGUCAUCAUGAGUAAAAGUUUUACUUGCAAAUACACCCAUAAGUAAAAAUUUUACUGGUGACAUGAACAAAUCUCGGAUGUUCAUUUUUUGAUCCAACGGUAGUUUCUAAGUUUCC
rnacentral:pre_miRNA from 1 species